GACGAACCGUGCGAACGUUAUUCGGAAUCACUGGGCUUAAAGCGCGUGUAGGCGGAUGAGCACGUCUGUCGCUGAAAUCCCCCGGCUCAACCGGGGAACGGGCGCGGAUACGGCUCGUCUCGAGGGGCGUAGGGGGACCUGGAACUUCCGGUGGAGCGGUGAAAUGCGUUGAGAUCGGAAGGAACGCCCGUGGCGAAAGGCGAGGUCCUGGACGCCUACUGACGCUGAGACGCGAAAGCCAGGGGAGCGAACGGG
rnacentral:rRNA from 1 species